GAAUGCCAAGAAAACGCUCUACAACUUUCAUGUUUUGAGUUUUGAUAGAUACUGACUUUAUCAAGGUCAAAAUUGGUCUCGAAGUUGCUGCACGUCCUUAGCCUGCAAUAUGUGGAUUUGACUCGGUCAAUUUUCAGAAGUUUCCAGAUUUGAUGCACGAAAAUUCCAGCUGGAAACACCACUUUCCCAGUUAUAUUAGGACUUUAUUUUAUUUUUCGUAAUCAGUCAGAUUUGAAUAUUUGUUAGGAGAUUUUUUUGGAAGGGAUAAAGGUGAAAGAAAGGGGGCUGAAAAGGGGGCUCUUUCUCUUUUCUCUUGGAGGGCUCUUUCUCUUUUCUCUUGGAGGGCUCUUUCUCUUUUCUCCUUGGAAGUUUGCAUCCAUGGCUCUGCGUGGCUAAAGCUUUUAUUGGUCUAAGGAAACAGAAGCCUCGAAAUCAAUAAAACUGUGAGAUCUGAAUUUGUUUUCAUUGUUCAAUUCAUGCUUUGAUGUCGAAUGUCCUUCUGUGCAUAUUUUCAUGAUUGUUUUCGUUUAAUUACUAGGAGGCCUGCUAGUUUAUUAUUCGUUGCAAUCUAUUGCUAGGUUAGAUAUCAAAUCCGUAAUUGUUUGAUCCCUCUAAUCUGUGAAGCAACUAA
rnacentral:lncRNA from 1 species